rnacentral:rRNA from 1 species
AUUAUUUUUUUAGAUUCUUUUUUAUUGUUGAAAAAAUUAAAAACAAAUUGUUUUUUACAAUAAUUAAAAUUUAUAAUAUUUCAAUUUUUAAUUUUUAGUUUUAAAUAAAAAUUACAAAUAGGAAAAAUAAAAAAAUUUUGUUAUAAAUUAAAUUAAUUUAUUUAUAUUAAAAAUAUUUUUUAUAAUUUUUAUUUUUUUUAUUUUUUCAAAAAAAAAAUAAUUUAAUUAUAAUUAUUUAUUUAACUUUAAUAAUUAAAUA